GCUUACGGUGGAUGCCUUGGCGCUAAGUGCCGAUGAAGGACGCGGGACACUGCGAUAAGCCUCGGGUAGCCGUGUACAGGCUUUGAUCCGGGGAUUUCCGAAUGGGGAAACCCGCUGUGGCGAUCCCACAGCACCGGCGGCUGAAUAUAUAAGCCUGCCGGGGGGCACCUGGGGAACUGAAACAUCUAAGUACCCAGAGGAAAAGAGAUUAUUUCCCUAGUAGUGGCGAGCGAACGGGAACCAGCCCAAACCAGAGAGGCUUGCUUCUUUGGGGUUGUAGGGUCCGGCAUAUGGAAGUUACAAAUCAAUCUGCUAGCAGAAAGGUGUGGGAAAGCCUACCAAAGAGGGUAACAGUACCGUAUGCGAAAGUGGAUUGACUUCCGCUGGAUACCUGAGUACUGCCGGGCACGCUAAUCCGGCAGGAAGCUGGGGAGUCCACUCCCCAAGGCUAAAUACACUUGGCGACCGAUAGUGAACAAGUACCGUGAGGGAAAGGUGAAAAGUCCCCCUGUUAGGGGAGUGAAAUAGAACCUGAAACCGUAAGCUUACAAGCAGUCGGAGGGCUAAUGGCGUGUCGGUGCUAUUGCGAAAGCAUGUGCGCGGCGCUAUGCCUGACGGCGUGCCUCUUGGAGAAUGAGCCUGCGAGUUAAUCUCAGUGGCGAGGUUAAGGAAGUGACAUCCGAAGCCGUAGCGAAAGCGAGUCUGAAUAGGGCGUAUAGUCGCUGGGAUUAGACACGAAACCGGGUGAGCUACCCAUGGCCAGGGUGAAGCGAGUCUAAAAGCUCGUGGAGGCCCGAACCCUUUAAUGUUGCAAAAUUAUGGGAUGAGCUGUGGGUAGAGGUGAUAUGCCAAUCGAACUCGGAGAUAGCUUGUUCUCCCCGAAAUAGCUUUAGGGCUAGCGUCAUGCGUUUAGUACCGGAGGUAGAGCACUGGAUGAGCUAGGGGGCUUACCGCUUACCGAACUCAACCAAACUCCGAAUGCCGGUACUCCAGAGCAUGGCAGUCGGACUCCGGGAGAUGAGUUUCGGGGUCGAAAGGGAAACAGCCCAGA
rnacentral:rRNA from 1 species